UACGGGGGGGGGCAAGCGUUGUUCGGAAUUACUGGGCGUAAAGGGCUCGUAGGCGGCCAACUAAGUCGGAUGUGAAAUCCCCAAGCUUAACUUGGGAACUGCAUCCGAUACUGGAUGGCUUGAAUCCGGGAGAGGGAUGCAGAAUUCCAGGUGUAGCGGUGAAAUGCGUAGAUAUCUGGAGGAAUACCGGUGGCGAAGGCGGCAUCCUGGACCGGCAUUGACGCUGAGGAGCGAAAAGCUAGGGGAGCAAACGGGG
rnacentral:rRNA from 1 species